ACCGUCGUAGUACAAUGGUUAGUAUCUCCGUUUCCCAAGCGGAGGAUGGGGGUUCGAUUCCCCCCGGCGGUA